UACAGAGGCCUCAAGCGUUAGGCGGAAUCACUGGGCUUAAAGCGCGUGUAGGCGGACCGUUAAGUACCUUGUGAAAUCCCACGGCUCAACCGUGGAACUGCUGGGUAUACUGGCGGUCUUGGGCCACUCAGGGGUUGCCGGAACAAGCGGUGGAGCGGUGAAAUGCGUAGAUAUCGCUUGGAACGCCGAAGGUGAAGACAGGCAACUGGGGAGUGCGCCGACGCUGAGACG
rnacentral:rRNA from 1 species